UACAGAGGUCUCAAGCGUUGUUCGGAUUCAUUGGGCGUAAAGGGCUCGUAGGCGGCCAACUAAGUCAGACGUGAAAUCCCUCGGCUUAACCGGGGAACUGCGUCUGAUACUGGAUGGCUUGAGUUUGGGAGAGGGAUGCGGAAUUCCAGGUGUAGCGGUGAAAUGCGUAGAUAUCUGGAGGAACACCGGUGGCGAAGGCGGCAUCCUGGACCACGACUGACACUGAAAAGCGAAAGCCAGGGGAGCAAACGGG
rnacentral:rRNA from 1 species